ensembl:lncRNA
ACCCCCUGCCUCGAGUGAAGGUCAGAUGGAGAGUGGAACAAGGACUGGCUGUCCUCCCCAGAGCAAUGCUAUGACAGAAAGAAAAAGACUAAUAAAGACAAAAAGAAAAAAUGCCCAAGGGAAAAACAGGAAGAUAUCCCAGGUAGGAAGGCACAGCUGUGGACAGAGGGCUGGAACUGUCAGAUGUGCCUAAACCUACAGUAACUGGCUUUUAAUUCCCACUAAAAGGAGUUAUGCAAAUCCCAAGUGAUUCUCUAAGCCUCAAAUUUACUGGAGAAAUAUUUAAUUGACUAGCAGCUACUGGAAUAAGAGAGUCAGAAAACAUAAACUGUGUUUAGGAACUCCAUCAAUAAUAAAAUCUAUAUAAAUGUUUUUCACUUCAUCCUGUCAGGAUGUAGCCAGUGACUGAAUUUAGGAAUAAGUAAAUAAUUUCCUUGGUAAUUUUGCUGUAACUGAAUAAAAUUCAAUGAAAAUAAUUCCAGGUUAACUGAAUUGCCUUAAAUAAAGAGGCUGUGAAACACAGAAAUACAGCCAGAUCAGGGUAGAUGCUCAGCACCUGGCACGUUCUGAACUCACCUACUCCUGUUAAAGAUGAUAUCUUGUUCAUUUUAAGCUAUAUUCCUUUAAAGCUUCGAUUAAAUAAGCAGCUGCCAUAUUUAAUCCUCUUGGCCCUUCUAUUAAGUUGUAUGUGGAUAUAUUUGUCUUUUAACCCCAUACAAUAAUGUAAUUCUCAUAACUUAUAGUCUAGAGUUUUCUCUAAGGAGCUACAGUAGAUGUUAAAUAUCCCAAAGGAUACAUAUCCUACACAGAAAAUUCCUGAUCUGAUUGUGACAUAAAAUAAUCAAGAUUCAAGUGCUGGUGUUGGGAACUUCUACUUCAACAUUCAUCUCCUGCAACACUGCAACAUUCUGCAAUUAGAUUUUGCUGCCUCCAUGUUUGUUGUCUAGAAUAAUGCUGGAAGUUUGCAAUGAAAAAAGGAAGAAAGAAAACUGAAAUUAUGCCAAUUUAGAGCAAAUACAGAGAAAAGUUCUGAGUAUUAAUGUGGUGCAAGACACUUUAAUUACCUGCUUCAAGUAUGUCAAUGCAGACUAAUCCACCUGAAUCCAUACUCCAAUGACACAGGUGGUCUAGUGCCAUGCUCAUCUCCAAAUACCUGAAAUUCUUAACACUGUUAUUUGGGAGAGCUGCCUGUCCAAACUCUAAGGAAAUGUCCUUAUUGUCCUCAUUCUCUAUCAAAAAGAGCGCCCCAAGAGCCCAGCCCUCCAGUCACUGCUACCUUCAACCUUCAGUGCAAGGCCAUCUCCUCCCUAGGGCACUGUCUGCAACAAGCCAAUGUCCCUCUGACUCCAUGGGGGCUGCACUUCUCUGUGCCUAAAACUGGCCAGAUCAAGGCUCCUGGGCCAUUUACAUUUAGCUGGGCUCGUGCAGACUGACUGUGCUGCCUUUUCUGAGAGGGUCUGGACUCCACCCCACGAGUCUAACCCCGAGAACAGGGAGGUGCAGCACUAAAUUCAUCCCAAGACUGAGGCAUUUGCUCAGCACUAGAAGUCUAGGUCAAACACAGAGCAGAACUGCCUGCUGCCUCAUUUAAAUAUUCAGUGAACACUGCAAAGAUUAACAUUUCCUCUCUUGAAUAUCUAAAUAUUUGCCCACAAUCCCCCUGCUAAUGAGCAAAGACAAGUGCUGGUAAGUGGCAAGCAGCAUCAAGCCUCGAGUCAAUCAAACGCUCCAACGGGCCCUUCAGCACCACCACAAGGCCCAGCGAGUGACAUUCGGAGCUGGUGGCUUGCAAAUGGCCCUUCUCUCCUGCUAACUCUCCCCCCACCACGCAUCCACACACAUUCCUCCCUCUCCUUCCCUCUCCACCCCUUUUUCCGCUCCAUGACCCACUCGGGGGCAUAAAAAACUGGUACUGAGAAACCUGCCAACUGCUUUAGACUUUGGAACACGAGCUGGGCUCUUGUCAGCUCUAAGCCUGCCACACAAUGGAAAACAUUACAUAUUUCUCUCGCUAACGACCGCGCUGCUCAUUUACAUGUCUUAGGCAAACACCAACAAGGUCGCAGCCAGAAAAGUGCGGUCAGGAGCUACUGCUCCUGGCAAGAGGUUGGUGCCUGGAAAAGGGCUCCAUGGAAGCUCUUUAAACACCUUGGAACAUGUGCUAAGCUGCUGAAGUAUGAGGUGUGGUGACAGCAAGGUGUUGAAACAGGGCUUUAAAAAGCUGCCAGUCAUAAUUAACACGUCUCCACAGAGCACUGGCAACUGAGCAAAGCCAACACCCAGAGCAUCUUCUUGGAGGGUGGGUGGGGACAGCAGAAGAGAAGAGGGAGCAGGUGUAGGGAAGACAAAGGAGGAGUAUGGAGUCAUCCACAGGGGGUUUUCCCUCUUGGCCUCAAGCUCAGAAAUUGCUGCCCCUACUUCUCAAAGAGGUGAUGAAGUUGUGGGUCUUCAGGAGCUCCUCUGCCACAUGCCUGGACACCUGCAAGGUGAGCUGUCCCUGCUGGCCUCCUCUGGGAGUUUCUGACUGUCCUUGUCCUUGCUCCUGUGGGGAUCAGGAGGGUUUGGGAAGCAGCCAGCACAAAGCCAAGGCACUGCAGAGCAGGGAGGGAGAACCCACCACCAGCCACUUGCUGGAGAUCCACAGCAAGAGCCAAGUUCAGAUUUCCUGUUCUCCUGUUACUCCUGGGCCCCCUGCAAAGAGGCACAAUCCCAAUUUUGCAAUAAUAUCACCUUGUCUGAAUAUUGUACUUACUAAUUCUUUGACAAAAUUUUUAUUUGUAAUUUUUCCAGUUGCAUGCUCAUCCUAACAUUAGUCCAAACUGGGAAAAAAAAAAAAAAAAAAA